CUCCAUUUAAUCCCUACUGCAAAUAUUUAUAUGUGUUGUCACAGAAAUAGGAAGGUGUUUGAUUACAGGGUACUUCCAGGGUAUUACAUAAUAUAUAUGUAUUACAUUACUUUUAUUCAGAAAAAAUUCUAAGUACCUAAACACAUUUGCCCCAAAGUUUCUAGAUAAUGAACUAGGUAUUACCCUCAAUUUUAUAGGGGGAGAAUGUUGAGGUAGGCAAUGCUGUGAAUUCCAAUCAUUCCAGAACCAUGGGGGUGGGUUCGUGGUGUUCUGUGUGACCUAAGGAGCAGGAUGAGAGAGUGAUUUCAGAGUCAGGUGGGAUGUGAAUGGAAGUCUCUGGUGAGCUAGAACAGAGCCAACCAUACACUGUAUUCAAACGAGGAUUGAUAUUUCCUUUAAGCCAAGGCGAGGAUUCUUUAGAAGUCCUUGCAGAAACCUUGGCCAGUCUCAGACACCCUACACUGAACACACCGUUCUGACAGGGAAGAAUAGAGAGCUGAACAGGUUUUCUUGGUAAGGCAUAGAUUUGCCCAGGCAGUGACACUGGCAAAGACGAACGUGGCUCCAAGUUAACAGUCGGUCUCCAAGCUCACUUCUGGCCGCAGAGUUUCCUGGAGGUAUUGUGUGGAAUGCUCUAGAAGUUUGGAAUGGGGGUGGGGGAGUGUUGGGCAACCCAGAGAAAUGUCCUCCCAGCUCAGGUAAUAAACGUGUUCCUU
rnacentral:lncRNA from 1 species